CACCGGAGAGGGAGCCUGAGAAACGGCUACCACAUCCAAGGAUGGCAGCAGGCGCGCAAAUUACCCAAUCCCGACACGGGGAGGUAGUGACAAUAAAUAACAAUACGGGGUUCUUUAGGAUCUCGUAAUUGGAAUGAGUACAAUUUAAAUCUCUUAACGAGGAACAAUUGGAGGGCAAGUCUGGUGCCAGCAGCCGCGGUAAUUCCAGCUCCAAUAGCGUAUAUUAAAGUUGUUGCAGUUAAAAAGCUCGUAGUUGAAUUUCGGGGUUAGUAGGUUGGUCAUGCCUCUGGUAUGUACUGGUCUCACUGAUUCCUCCUUCCUUAUGAACCGUAAUGCCAUUAAUUUGGUGUUGCGGGGAAUUUGGACUGUUACUUUGAAAAAAUUAGAGUGUUUAAAGCAAGCUAACGCUUGAAUACAUUAGCAUGGAAUAAUGAAAUAGGACGUUCGAUCUUAUUUUGUUGGUUUCUAGGAUUGACGUAAUGAUUAAUAGGGAUAGUUGGGGGCAUUAGUAUUCAAUUGUCAGAGGUGAAAUUCUUGGAUUUAUUGAAGACUAACUACUGCGAAAGCAUUUGCCAAGGAUGUUUUCAUUAAUCAAGAACGAAAGUUAGGGGAUCGAAGACGAUCAGAUACCGUCGUAGUCUUAACCAUAAACUAUGCCGACUAGGGAUCGGAUGAUGUUAAUUUUUUAAUGACUCAUUCGGCGCCUUACGGGAAACCAA
rnacentral:rRNA from 1 species